GAAUAUAUUACUAAUUUAGUUUGUAUCAAAUACUCAAUUUAGUCGAACUUGGAUAAUAAAUCGCCUUCUAAAGACUUUCUCUCUUUGGGAAACCCACAGUUUAUCUUCUCACUGCUUCCACCGCCUCUCCUUCUCUUAAGGCUUGCUCGCCGCUCAUCGGCGUUUCUCCUCUUGUCAUCGUCGGCGAGUCUAUUUUUCUUUGCUUUCCUCAAUUUUGCUUCUUAAUUUUGCUUUUUAGGUGUUUUACAGUAAAGUAGACAAGGAAUUGAAGAUUGGAGAUCCGUUUUUCAUUUUUCAAAUCCACUAGUGGUUUAGUUAAGUUUCGGUGUGUCGUCUAGUGUUUUAGGUUUUACUAAUCCAUCGAAACAAGGAGCUACGACUAUUCUUAACGCCGUCGUCGAUAGGAGUUCUGUUAAUUGUUUCCUGACGGUAAAGGUGAAGUUAAGACUAGCGUUUUCUCCCUUAUCCAAGGCUAAAGGGAGUUGGUCGUUCUUGUGUUUGCCUCGACGACUGCUCUUUAAGUUAGGAUGAAAUACAACAGUUGGAAUGAUGAUGAAUAUGCUAUGACAUUUUGAGAUGGAUUGUGAACUUCUUAAGAUGAUUUGCAAGUCAUAAGAAGUUGUAUGUUAGAGUGCUAGAUAUUGACAAUACUACAUGGUCAUGUACUUCUAACUAUACGGUCAGGUGAUAUUUUCCAUGUACGACUACUUGUUACAUGGCCGUGUACCAUGAGCUACACGGUCGUAUGAUGUCAUCUCCAUAUGAAUGCAGCCUACAUGGUCAUGUACCCCUUUAGCUACACGAUCGUGUACAUACAUGAUGGAAUCUGGGAUUGAGUAGAGACUAGCUACACGGUCGUGUAAUACCUUAAUGUUUAUUUUUAGAAAAGUAUAAA